UGCAAGUCGAGCGAACAGAUGAGAAGCUUGCUUCUCUGAUGUUAGCGGCGGACGGGUGAGUAACACGUGGGUAACCUACCUAUAAGACUGGGAUAACUCCGGGAAACCGGGGCUAAUACCGGAUAAUAUUUUGAACCGCAUGGUUCAAUAGUGAAAGACGGUUUCGGCUGUCACUUAUAGAUGGACCCGCGCCGUAUUAGCUAGUUGGUAAGGUAACGGCUUACCAAGGCGACGAUACGUAGCCCACCUGAGAGGGUGAUCGGCCACACUGGAACUGAGACACGGUCCAGACUCCUACGGGAGGCAGCAGUAGGGAAUCUUCCGCAAUGGGCGAAAGCCUGACGGAGCAACGCCCCGUGAGUGAUGAAGGUCUUCGGAUCGUAAAACUCUGUUGUUAGGGAAGAACAAAUUUGUUAGUAACUGAACAAGUCUUGACGGUACCUAACCAGAAAGCCACGGCUAACUACGUGCCAGCAGCCGCGGUAAUACGUAGGUGGCAAGCGUUAUCCGGAAUUAUUGGGCGUAAAGCGCGCGUAGGCGGUUUCUUAAGUCUGAUGUGAAAGCCCACGGCUCAACCGUGGAGGGUCAUUGGAAACUGGGAAACUUGAGUGCAGAAGAGGAGAGUGGAAUUCCAUGUGUAGCGGUGAAAUGCGCAGAGAUAUGGAGGAACACCAGUGGCGAAGGCGGCUCUCUGGUCUGUAACUGACGCUCAUGUGC
rnacentral:rRNA from 2 species